rnacentral:rRNA from 1 species
UACGGGGGGGGCAAGCGUUGUUCGGAAUUACUGGGCGUAAAGGGCUCGUAGGCGGCCAACUAAGUCGGAUGUGAAAUCCCCAAGCUUAACUUGGGAACUGCAUCCGAUACUGGAUGGCUUGAAUCCGGGAGAGGGAUGCAGAAUUCCAGGUGUAGCGGUGAAAUGCGUAGAUAUCUGGAGGAAUACCGGUGGCGAAGGCGGUUCUCUGGGCCGAUACUGACGCUGAGGAGCGAAAGCGUGGGGAGCGAACAGG